rnacentral:lncRNA from 1 species
CUCCGGGGGAAGUGUGGAGGCGGGAGGGCUUUAAAAGGGGGGAAUCCGACAGCUCCUCUGGGAUGGAUGAUAAACAGGAAAAGAAAGCCGAGUUCCUUCACCGACCAAGGGAGUUUCUAGGUUAGGAACAGGUAAAGCCCAGCACCAUGAACAUACUGCUGAUCUACCGCGCGGCGCUCUAUAGACUCCCAGGCUCAUAGGAGCCCAUCCAAAGACGCGCGCUUACUCACACACACGCACACACACAUACACACGAGGGUGGGGGAGGAAGGUCUGUAAGUCUCCCAUCUGCAGUUACUUGGGUUUAGCGUUACCUCAGAAUGUAGAACUAUAGCCAAGGAAAACUGCUGAUUUUCCUUUCUCUUUACUCCUAUACACAGUGAGAAUCUUUUGCACCAGCUGAGUAGAAUGAUGGGUAGGGGGAGGAUCGGGGUUGGGGGGGUGGUUAGGGCAUUAUCAGCAUGAUGUCCAGAAGAUUCCUAAAGCAGUUUAGUCUCAAGUAACAAAAUGAUGAAGUCCUAAAAUGCUCCCCUUCCCCUCGAACCUCUAACACAUCUCAAAAUAGGGUUUUCCUUCUGACCCUCAGUUACCCACGUUUUUCUUUCUGCACCAUCAGCCCCUUCUACCUAGGCUCGCUUCAGUGUAAGUUGAGAGAACAAAAUUCAGUAGACAGAACAAACCACAAAUACUGUCACCCAUCUAUAAUGAUAAUAAUAAUAAUAAUAAUGGCCCAGGGAAUGAUGAAACAAGUAUAUAUUAAAGGUCUACUAUAUACAGAAAGUUAAGAAAGAGAGGGGCAAAGAGUUAAAAUAGCUUGCAUGUCAGCAAGUAAAAUUGUGUAGUGUAAACUGAGAGCAUAAAAGAACCGGAGGUAAAUCUUUGGGUUCAAAACCCAGGUCAAAUACUUAGUAACUUUGUAACUCAGGCAAGUCAUUUAACCUCUAAGCCUUAGUUUCCUCUUCUGGAAAACUGAGAAGGAAAAGAAUACCCUCUCCACUGGAUUGCUCUAGAAUGAGGUACAUAUAGGUGUAGUAUUUGGCUGUGAUUAAUAAAUAUUAGUAAUCUUUUAAUGAAUAAGCCAUAAUGAAUGUACAGGAAAACAAACAAGGUUUAGUGUCACUCAGCUAUACAAACUGAGUAGAUAUAGAUUUGGUGCCAUUAUUAUUAUUAUUUAAAUAUACUUUAAGUUAUGGGAUACCUGUGCAGAACUUGCAGGUUUGUUACAUAGGUAUACACGUGCCGCGGUGGUUUGCUGCACCCAUCAACCGGUCAUCUACAUUACGUAUUUCUCCUAAUGCUAUCCCUCCCGUAGCCCCUCACCCCCCAACAGGCUCUGGUGUGUGAUGUUCCCCUCCCUGUGUCCAUGUGUUUUCAUUGUUGAACUUCCACUUAUGAGUGAGAACAUGUGGUGUUUGGUUUUCUGUUCCUGUGUUAGUUUGCUGAAAAUGAUGGUUUCCAGCUUCAUCCAUGUCCCUGCAAAGAACAUGAACUCAUCCGUUUUUAUGGCUGCAUAGUAUUCCAUGGUGUAUAUGUGCCACAUUUUCUUUAUCCAGUCUAUCGUUGAUGGGCAUUUGGGUGGGUUCCAAGUCUUUGCUAUUGUGAAUAGUGCUGCAAUAAACAUACAUGUGCAUGUGUCUUUAUAGUAGAAUGGUUUAUAAUCCUUUGGGUAUAUACCCAGUAAUGGGAUGGCUGGGUCAAAUGGUAUUUCUGGUUCUAGAUCCUUGAGGAAUCACCACCCUGUCUUCCACAAUGGUUGAACUAAUUUACACUUCCACCAACAGUAUAAAAGCAUUCCUAUUCCUCCACAUCCUCUCCAGCAUCUGUUGUUUUCUGACUUUUUAAUGAUCGCCAUUCUAACUGGCGUGAGAUGGUGUCUCAUUGUGGUUUUGAUUUGCAUUUCUCUAAUGACCAGUGAUGAUGAGCUUUUUUUUGUAUGUUUGUUGGCUACAUAAAUGUCUUCUUUUGAUAAGUGUCUGUUUAUAUUCUUUGCCUACUUUUUGAUGGGGUUGUUUGAUUUUCCCUUGUAAAUCUGUUUAAAUUCCUUGUUGAUUCUGGAUAUUAGCCCUUUGUCAGAUGGACAGAUUGCAAAAAUUUUCUCCCAUUCUGUAGGUUGCCUGUUCACUCUGAUGAUAGUUUCUUUUGCUGUUCAGAAGCUCUUUAGUUUAAUUAGAUACCAUUUGUCAUUUUUCACAUUUGUUGCCAUUGCUUUUAGUAUUUUAGUCAUGAAGGCUUUGCCCAUGACUAUGUCCUGAAUGGUAAUGCCUGGGUUUUCCUCUAGGGUUUUUAUGAUCUUAGGUCUUACAUGUAAGUCUUUAAUCCAUCUCGAGUUAAUUUUUGUAUAAGGUGUAAGGAAGGGGUCCAGUUUCAGUUUUCUGCAUAUGGCUAGCCAGUUUUCACAACACCAUUUAUUAAAUAGGGAAUCCUUUCCUUAUUGCUUGUUUUUGUCAGAUUUGUCAAAGAUCAGAUGGUUGUAGAUGUGUGGCAUUAUUUCUGAGGCUUCUGUUCUGUUCUAUUUGUCUGUAUACCUAUUUUGGCACCAGUACCAUGCUGUUUUGGUUACUGUAGACUUGUAGUAUAGUUUGAAGUCAGGUAGCAUGAUGCCUCCAGCUUUGUUCUUUUUGUUUAGGAAUGUCUUGGCUAUACAGGCUCUUUUUUGGUUCCCAUUGAAAUUUAAAGUGGUUUUUUUUCUAAUUGUGUGAAGAAAUCAAUGGUAGCUUGGUGGGCAUAACACUGAAUCUAUAAAUUACUCUGGGUAGUAUGGCCAUUUUCACCAUAUUGAUUCAUCUUAUCCAUGGGCAUGAAAUGUUUUUCCAUUUGUUUGUAUCCUCUCUUAUUUCCUUUCGCAGUGGUUUGUAGUUCUCCUUGAAGAGGUCCUUCACAUCCCUUGUAAGUUGUAUUUCUAGGUAUUUUAUUCUCUUUGCAGCAAUUGUGAAUGGGAGUUCACUCAUGAUUUUGCUCUCCGUCUAUUAUUGGUGUAUAGGAAUGCUUGUGAUUUUUGCAGAUUGAUUUUGUUUCCUGAGACUUUGCUGAAGUUGCUUAUCAGCUUAAGGAGAUUUGGGGCCAAGACAAUGGGAUUUUCUAAAUAGACAAUCAUGUCAUCUGCAAACAGAGACCAUUUGACUUCCUCUCUUCCUAUUUGAAUACCCUUUAUUUCUUUGUCUUGCUUGAUUGGUGCCAUUAUUAUAAGUCAGCCUGAGAAUAAAGGAGCAGAUAUUUCAUGGGAAUUAAGGAAGGGUGAAGAAGAAGAGGUAUUAAAAAUCCAAGCAGCAAUCAAACAGAGAAAAGAUUAAAGAAUAUGCAUUCUCUAUGCAAUAACAUCUCAGGGAUAUCCCUUACCAACAACAGUAACUAAUAUAAUUAAAAAUACAUUUCUGGCUGGGCGUGGUGGCUCAUGCCUGUAAUCCCAGCACUUUGGGAGGCUGAGAAGGGUGGAUCACAAGGUCAGGAGACCAGACCAUCCUGGCUAACAUGGUGAAACCCCGUCUGUACUAAAACUACAAAAAAAAUUAGCCGGGCAUGGUGGCACGUGCCUAUAGUCCCAGCUACUCCAGAGCCUGAGGCAGGAGAAUGGCUUGAACCCGGGUGGCGGAGAUUGUAGUGAGCCAAGAUCACGCCACUGCACUCCAGCCUGGUGAAAGAGUGAGACUCCGUCUCAAAAACAAACAAAAAAACAUUUUGACUAGUUACAAAGCUAAGGUCAACUUAUGCCUAAAGUGAGUCUCAGUCAUACAACAGGAGCAACACUGGCCAUCUAUCUGGACGACUUUGCUGACAAUACUGCCUCAGAAGAUGCAAAAUGAGAACAAUAACGUGGAAUCUGGAGAUGUGUUAGUUGCUGAAGAGUAUCCUCCACGAUCCCAAAUGUAGAAUGAGAAGGCAAAAUGCACGCAAAAGAUGGUUAUGUUGGUGCAGCCUCUCAAGAUGCCCAUCACCAGUGAUUAUGAGAAAUCCUUCUCUCAAGGUCAGCUUCUGGGAAUUGAACCUAACACAACUGGGUACUUUUGGAUGCAUUCUGGAGGAGAACUGUUUCUGGAAAAUAAGACAUCAUUACUGGAACUCUGCAGAUGAGAAUGGCACCAUGAGUUGUGGAAGAACAAUAACUAGCUGCUGUGUUGCUGUUUAACACUUCUUGUAUGAUUUUUUGAGACAUGGGGUGACUCCCAAGUUACAUUCUCUUCCUGACUUUUAGUUGUAUCAAAUGUAAAAUGAGGGUGUAAAAUUAGGUGAUUGCCAAAGUUCCUUCCAGCUGGAAAAAUUCUAUGAUGUAAAUCAGGGGUUGGCAAAUUAUGGACCUCUGGCCAAGUCCAGCCAUACCUCCUUUUUUUUGAGUGAAGUUUUACUGGAAUGCAGCCCUGCUCAUUAGUUUAGGUAUUGUUUAUACCUGCUUCGUGCUGCAGAGUUGGGUAGCCUAGGCUACUCUGCAACUCUAUGAGACUCAUAAUGAUUAUUAUCCUCAACAUUUUAAAAAACAGGUGAGGAAAUUGAGACAAAGCAAAUUUAAGUUGCCCAAGUUUACAGGAUGAGUAAUGGCAGAGCUGAUGUUCGUAUUCAGCCAAACUGCCUCCAGAGUUGGUGCUUUUAACCACAGUGCUAAACUGCCCUGAUUUAAGAAGCCCACAAUGAAAGUGAAUGUUAAAACCUUUUGACUCAUAGUAAUUAAGAUGUGCUUGCUUUGUUUUUAGUAUGAGGGUUAACAUUAACAGGAAUACAUAUGGAAGAAUGGAUGGAGGAGAGGGAAAGGGGAAAAUUCUGCAAGCUCAACAAAGUUAGAAAAUAAUAUCAACAAUAAAAUAUGGCCUGUUUAUUUAUUUUUUUUUACCAUCACGUGCAAUCCUACAAUGUGGUUUCAUGUUCCCUUCAUUUUUCCUCAUGGUGCAAAUCACAGACACAUUUACAAACAAAUUCACAACUAAGAUGCUUAACUUGGUCCUCAGCAUGCCAGCAUCCUGUGUCUGUGGAGCAGAACUAAUCAUUUUAUGUCACUUCUCACUUCUCCUCCCCUCCCACUUCCUUUGAGAUUGCAAUUCUGCUUAGGCAAUGUGAUGAAUGACAAUGCCAAGGGUAGAUAAUUUUGCUUUUGACAAUUUACACUUUCACAGUGCAUCAGCACAAUGUUUUGUAAAUGUUUUUGGUUUUUAGAUCACAUUGACAUUAAUCCUCUCAAAAUAUAUUUGUGUAUCCUUUUCCACUGUGGUGAAGGCUCAUUUGAAUGGAACAAGUUUAAACACUAACUUAAAUUGAAGAAGGAAAUAUCUUAAAGAAGAAAGGAUGGAGAGGUAUUUUCCAAUUUAUCUUUCUUAAAUCACAGCUAGAAUUCAAGUCAUAGAGGAGUAGGAGUGGCUAAUAUAAAUUUUUGUUUCCUUUUCUUUUUUUCUUUUUUUUCUUUGAGAUGGAGUAUUGCUCUUAUUGCCCAGGCUGAAGUGCAGUGGUGUGAUCUCAGCUCACUGCAACCUCCGCCUCCUGGGUUCAAGCAAUUCUCCUGCCUCAGCCUCCCAAGUAGCUGGGAUUAGAGGCAUGUGCCACCAUACCCAGCUCAUUUUUGUAUUUUUAGUAGAGAUAGGUUUCACCAUGUUGGCCAGGCUGGUCUCGAACUCCUGACCUCAGGUGAUCUACCUGCCUAGGCUUCCCAAAGUGCUGGGAUUACAGGUGUGAGCCACCGUGCCUGGCUUCUAUUUCUUUUUUGGUAAAUAUUUUGUCAUAGUGUUUUAACAAUAACCCACAAUGUAAACUCAUCUCAGAAAAUUUGGUUUUGGCCAUUAUAGCUGUAAUUUAACUUCUUUCCUAAUGCAUGUAAAGUGGCUGAUAAAUUUCUUAUUCUGCUCAAGUCAGCACUUCCUAACCUUACUAUUUUUGGCAGUGUUUGGGACUAUAAUAAGAUUAAACCAGUCUUGCUCUGUUCCUCUCUGUCUUUCUGUGUCUGUCAGUCUCUCUUUCUAUCCUUCUCUGCCUCUCUCCUUCUGUUUGUUUUAUAUUUCCAUUAUUGCCUGAUUGCCUGAGUACUUACUUGUGCUAGCCACUGUGCUAUUUAAUAUGCUGUACUUCAUUUAUUCUUCACAGUAACCACUGAGUUUGGGAUUGCCAUUGACAAUUUUCAGAUGAGGCAACUAAGGAUGUACAAAGUUAAAUGUUACACAACUGUAGUAAUAAUAAUGUAGUUUAAUAAUAAGUUGUUAUAUUAAUGCAAUAAUAAUAAUGAUACACUCAAGAUUCCAAUUCAGAAUGGUCUUCCUCCAGGUAGUAACCUUAAACACAGUGCAAGAACACAAAAGGUUCAGAAAUCCUCAAAUAGUAAUGUGAAUCAAGAAAGAUACAGGCUUCCAUGUAGGAACCAGAUAGUCAUGAUCCUAGGCCAGCAGACUGAAGGUAAAGAACAGACUGGUGAUAAUCAAUCAUGCAAGAGGUUAGAGAGAUAAACAUUUAACUUGACCAGAACUUGAGAGAGCUCAGAGCUUUGAUGACAGGUAUCUGAUGUCCAAAACAGCACCUGGGCUAAGAACCAGGAUUGUAGGACCUGUUAACUCCAGCACCUUUUCUUUGCACAGAAAAGAUAAAAGAACCUGAUUCUGUAGCAGAAAUUUUCUGAACUUGCAAAAGGGGAUCAGCACUUACUAAGUACUGAUUUAUGUAGUUUAAUAAUAAGUUGUUAUAUUAAUGCAAUAAUAAUAAUGAUACACUCAAG